CGUACAGGCGGCCAUAUAAGUCGGGUGUGAAAUUCUUGGGCUUAACCUGAGACCUGCAUUCGAUACUGUUUGGCUUGAGAUCAGGAGAGGAGAGUGGAAUAUGUGGUGUAGCGGUGAAAUGCGUAGAUAUCACAUAGAACACCGGUGGCGAAGGCGGCUCUCUGGCCUGAUUCUGACGCUGACGCGCGAAAGUUAGGGUAGCGAAACG
rnacentral:rRNA from 1 species